rnacentral:rRNA from 1 species
CCUACGGGAGGCAGCAGUGAGGAAUAUUGGUCAAUGGCCGGAAGGCUGAACCAGCCAUGCCGCGUGAAGGUCAGUGCCCUAUGGGCGUUAAACUUCUUUUGUGCGGGAGCAAUAAUGGUCACGUGUGGCCAGACGAGAGUACCGUACGAAUAAGCAUCGGCUAACUCCGUGCCAGCAGCCGCGGUAAUACGGGGGAUGCAAGCGUUAUCCGGAUUUAUUGGGUUUAAAGGGUGCGUAGGCUGUGAGGGAAGUCAGCGGUGAAAUGCCCCCGCUCAACGGGGUGAAGUGCCAUUGAUACUGCCUGGCUGGAAUGCGGAUGCCGUGGGAGGAAUGUGUGGUGUAGCGGUGAAAUGCAUAGAUAUCACACAGAACACCGAUUGCGAAGGCAUCUCACGAAUCCGCGAUUGACGCUGAGGCACGAAAGCGUGGGUAUCAAACAGGAUUAGAUACCCCAGUAGUC